CGGGCCAUGGUGUAGCGGCAACAUACACCCUUGGGGUGGGUGUGAUGGCGGGUUCGACUCCCGCUGGCCCGACAA
rnacentral:tRNA from 1 species